rnacentral:rRNA from 1 species
GAUGAGAGUGGCGCACGGGUGCGUAACGCGUGAGCAACCUACCCAUAUCAGGGGGAUAGCCUCUCGAAAGAGAGAUUAACACCGCAUAACAUCAUUAACCGGCAUCGGAUUAUGAUCAAAUAUUUAUAGGAUAUGGAUGGGCUCGCGUGACAUUAGCUAGUUGGAGGGGUAACGGCCCACCAAGGCUACGAUGUCUAGGGGCUCUGAGAGGAGAAUCCCCCACACUGGUACUGAGACACGGACCAGACUCCUACGGGAGGCAGCAGUAAGGAAUAUUGGUCAAUGGAGGGAACUCUGAACCAGCCAUGCCGCGUGCAGGAUGACUGCCCUAUGGGUUGUAAACUGCUUUUGUCAGGGAAUAAACCUUUCCACGUGUGGGAAGCUGAAUGUACCUGAAGAAUAAGGAUCGGCUAACUCCGUGCCAGCAGCCGCGGUAAUACGGAGGAUCCAAGCGUUAUCCGGAUUUAUUGGGUUUAAAGGGUGCGUAGGCGGUCCUAUAAGUCAGUGGUGAAAGACGGCAGCUUAACUGUCGCAGUGCCUUUGAUACUGUAGGACUUGAAUCUAUUUGAAGUGGGCGGAAUAAGACAAGUAGCGGUGAAAUGCAUAGAUAUGUCUUAGAACUCCGAUUGCGAAGGCAGCUCACUAAGUUAGUAUUGACGCUGAUGCACGAAAGCGUGGGGAUCAAACAGGAUUAGAUACCCUGGUAGUCCACGCCCUAAACGAUGAUAACUCGAUGUUUGCGAUACACAGUAAGCGUCCAAGCGAAAGCGUUAAGUUAUCCACCUGGGGAGUACGGUCGCAAGAUUGAAACUCAAAGGAAUUGACGGGGGCCCGCACAAGCGGAGGAGCAUGUGGUUUAAUUCGAUGAUACGCGAGGAACCUUACCCGGGCUUGAAAGUUAGUGAAUGAUCCAGAGACGGAUCAGUCCUUCGGGACACGAAACUAGGUGCUGCAUGGCUGUCGUCAGCUCGUGCCGUGAGGUGUUGGGUUAAGUCCCGCAACGAGCGCAACCCCUAUGUUUAGUUGCCAGCAUGUAAUGAUGGGGACUCUAAACAGACUGCCAGCGUAAGCUGUGAGGAAGGUGGGGACGACGUCAAGUCAUCAUGGCCCUUACGUCCGGGGCUACACACGUGCUACAAUGGAUGGUACAGCGGGCAGCUACAUAGCAAUAUGGUGCUAAUCUCUAAAAGCCAUUCACAGUUCGGAUUGAGGUCUGCAACUCGACCUCAUGAAGUUGGAUUCGCUAGUAAUCGCGUAUCAGCAAUGACGCGGUGAAUACGUUCCCGGGCCUUGUACACACCGCCCGUCAAGC